CAAUAGCGUAUAUUAAAGUUGUUGCGGUUAAAAGCUCGUAGUUGGAUUUCUGUCGGUGAGUGAAAGUCCGCUCUCAGUGGUUGGUACUUUUCACGCCACCGGCAUCUUCCUGGGGAUUGUGUCUGCUCUUUGUUGAGUGGCGCAUAAUCCAGGACUUUUACUUUGAAGAAAUAGAGAGUGUUUCUAAGCAGGCCAUCGCCCUGAAUACGUUAGCAUGGAAUAAUAGCAUCGGACCUCGUUCCAAACGACUGUUGGUUUCUUUGGACCGAGGUAAAGGUAGAAUAGGGAUUGUUGGGGGCGAUUCGUAUUUAACUUGUCAGAGGUGAAAUUCUUGGAUUUGUUGAAGACGGACUACUGCGAAAGCAUCUGCCAAAGAUGUUCUCAUUGAUCAAGAACGAAAGUUAGGUG
rnacentral:rRNA from 1 species